GACGAACGCUGGCGGCGUGCCUAAUGCAUGCAAGUAGAACGCUGAAGAGAGGAGCUUGCUCUUCUUGGAUGAGUUGCGAACGGGUGAGUAACGCGUAGGUAACCUGCCUUGUAGCGGGGGAUAACUAUUGGAAACGAUAGCUAAUACCGCAUAACAAUGGAUGACACAUGUCAUUUAUUUGAAAGGGGCAAUUGCUCCACUACAAGAUGGACCUGCGUUGUAUUAGCUAGUAGGUGAGGUAAUGGCUCACCUAGGCGACGAUACAUAGCCGACCUGAGAGGGUGGUCGGCCACCCUGGGACUGGGACACGGCCCAGACUCCUGCGGGAGGCAGCAGUAGGGAACCUUCGGCAAUGGGGGCAACCCUUACCGAGCAACGCCGCGUGAGUGACGACGGUUUUCGGAUCGUAAAGCUCUGUUGUAAGUCAAGAACGGGUGUGAGCGUGGAAAGUUCACACUGUGACGGUAGCUUACCAGAAAGGGACGGCUAACUACGUG
rnacentral:rRNA from 1 species